AUGAACCUCAACAGGGUUGGCUGCCAACUCCGUGAUCUGCGGGAAAUCGACAGGCCAAUCAAGCUGCCAGAUGACGUGCUGCUCAACAUCGUGGAGAGGAUGAGCACGCUCGACGCCAUUAGAACCUGCAUCAUCUCAAAGGAAACACUCAAGCUCCUGACGAUGCUGUCACAGAUCAUCAUCGUCAUUGGCACCACCGAACUGCUCCGAAUCAACGGCGUUGUGGCUGACGUGACCAGCAUGAUCCUGCGAACAAGGGCUCCGCAGAUCCCCAUACGCAACCUGAAGCUCAAGUUCAUCCUGAGAGGCGACGACCAUCUCAAGAUCGGCAGAUCUGUCGCCCUCGCCAUGGUGACGCAGGAGAUUGACGUGGCAGAGUUCGAGAUCCUGACGAACAAGGGUUCUUAUGAUUGCACUCGAGCGGAUCUCCUCUUCUUUGCAACUCAGUUCAAGGCUUUUAUUGGCGAGUGUCCAGAUGCAUUUGGUGGCCUCACACGGUUGCAUCUGCAGAAUCUGAGGUUUGGUGAGUCAGACAUACCAAACAUCCUCAUCACUUGCAAGCGGCUAGAAUCGUUGCAUUUUUUCUUGUGUGAUGCAGGGCCACGUUCAGUACUGAGCGUAGAACACGCUCGACUCAUCGAGCUUGAUAUCACCCAUGGGUAUUUCAGUACAGUAGAGCUUAAGUAUCUACCAAAACUCCAACGGAUGAGCUAUAAUAAUUGGCACUAUGCUAAGAACCCCCUGGUUCUUGGUUUUGUCCCUCAGCUUUCGGAGCUAGGCCUCGCUAAUGCUUAUGUUAAUACAGACAGAACCAUCAGAAUAAGCCAGCUGCUUAUUAAUGGCUCACUGAUACGCAGUAUGUAUUUGGACUUUCGAAGUGGAAAGAUUUGGGUUCAACCAGAAUGCCAGAAGUUGCUUGCGCCAGUGCUUGGCAAUCUACGUCUUGUGAAUCUGGAUAAUCUUCCUGAAGAAUGUGAUAUCGCUUGGACAUUGUUCUUUCUUGAAGCUGCACCGUCCCUAGAGGAGCUUUGCAUCAUAGUAUGGGAUCACAAGUGCCACAUAGAUUCACGACAGAGUUACUCCAAGAAAACGGAUUUGAAGUGGGAACCAUCCACCGCAGAUUUCAAGCACAAGAAUCUGGCCAAGCUUACCAUCCACGGCUUUGAGUCCAACGACAGCUUCACGAGAUAUGUCACGCACGUCAUGAAAGCAGCGGUGAACAUCCGGGUGGUAUCUCUGCACGACAAGAAAGUCUGCAAGCACUGCACUGGUAAAUUCAGUCAUGUCAAGGUUCGCCCUUCGAGCUAUCCACAAACCGAUGAGGAGAAAGACCUUUUGAGUAGGAAGAUUACAGGGUCGUUGGUGGCAACUUCUCAUGCUGUGAUUCAAUUCCGGCCCUCCUGCUAUUAUUCACCUCCAGUCAUGGAGAUUUUGUAA
rnacentral:rRNA from 1 species